rnacentral:rRNA from 1 species
UUCUUGAAAAUAAAAAGAUUUGGCGGUGUUUUAGACUAUUCAGAGGAACCUGUCCUAUAAUUGAUAUUCCACGAUUUGAUCUACUAGUUUUUUGGUUUAUAUAUCGCCGUAGGUCGAAUGUCUUAUUAGAGUCAAGAAUGUUCAAGAUUUUAUAAGCAAAAAAAAAUCAGGUCAAGGUGUAGCUUAUAGGCUAGAAGAGAUGGGUUACAAUAAAAGUAUUUAGAACGGAUGGGUUGAUUUGAUUUUUCUUUGAAGGUGGAUUUGAAUGUAAUUUUAUUUAAAUUAAUAAGAUGAAUAAAGCUCUGGGAUGUGCACAUAUUGCCCGUCGCUUUCGCUUUAAGGUGGAAUAAGUCGUAACACAGUAGGCGUACUGGAAAGUGUGCCUGGUAAGGCAGAUCAGAGCUGGGAAGUAGUAUUUUAUUUACAUUAAAAAGUUUAUUUGUUUAAAUAUGGUCUGAUUUAUAGAGUAUUAUUUAUUAUGAAAGUUUAAGCUUAAUUUAAAAUAAAGACUUUAAUUGUUUUAUUAUUUAUUGAGAAAAGAUUUUAUUUAUGAUAGGAAAUAGUACUGUGAAGGAGAUGAUAGGUAAAUUUUUUAAGGAGUUUUUAGUUUAUGUACCUUGUGUAUCAGGGUCUAUUAAAUAAGAAUUGACUAGGAUUGGUUUUCUCGAAUUUAAAAGAGCUAUUGAAAUAUAUUUUUUAUUGUUGAAUAAAUAUUAUUAAUAUUUCGAUGGAAGUGAAAUGCUAUUCGUUUUUAAAUAUAUCUAGUUUUCUAAGAAACUAAUUUAAUUAGGCCUAUUUUAUAUUGUUUAACUUAUUUUAGUAGUUAAACGAUUAGAUAUAGUAAAGUUCUAGGGGAUAAGCUUUAGAAUUGAAAUAUAAAAGUUACUUGGGUUUGUAGGUCAAUUGGAUUGAAGGUUUUCAUUACUAAAAGUGUGUUUAGACUUUCCUACAUAUUUAUAAAAUUUAUAUGAAGAAUGCUUUAUUGAGUUUAUUAGAAUAAUUUCUGUAAUUAUAAUUGGUUGGAAAUAAUGAUAGAAUUAGUAUAAUUUUAAUGUAAGAAUUUAUUUUUAGGGAAGGUUAAGUAAAGGAACUCGGCAAAGAGAAUUUUCCACCUGUUUAAUAAAAACAUGGCUUUUAGGAGUGAUUAAAGGUCUGGCCUGCUCAAUGAUUAAUUUAUUAAAUGGCCGCGGUAUACUGACCGUGCAAAGGUAGCAUAAUCAAUAGUUUCUUAAUUGGAAGCUGGAAUGAAAGGUCGAAUGAGAAAAUGACUGUCUCUAUUUAAAUUUAUUAGAACUUUACUUUUAGGUAAAAAGGCCUAGAUUUUGUUAGAAGACGAGAAGACCCUAUAGAGUUUAAUAAAUUUAUUUUGCUUAGGCUUUAGUAUUUAU